UUGAUCAAGACGUGCUUGCACUGAAUGAGAUUUUAACACGAAGUCGAGUGGCGGACGGGUGAGUAACACGUGGGUAACCUGCCCAGAAGCAGGGGAUAACACCUGGAAACAGAUGCUAAUACCGUAUAACAGAGAAAACCGCCUGGUUUUCUUUUAAAAGAUGGCUCUGCUAUCACUUCUGGAUGGACCCGCGGCGCAUUAGCUAGUUGGUGAGGUAACGGCUCACCAAGGCGAUGAUGCGUAGCCGACCUGAGAGGGUAAUCGGCCACAUUGGGACUGAGACACGGCCCAGACUCCUACGGGAGGCAGCAGUAGGGAAUCUUCCACAAUGGACGCAAGUCUGAUGGAGCAACGCCGCGUGAGUGAAGAAGGGUUUCGGCUCGUAAAGCUCUGUUGUUAAAGAAGAACGUGGGUGAGAGUAACUGUUCACCCAGUGACGGUAUUUAACCAGAAAGCCACGGCUAACUACGUGCCAGCAGCCGCGGUAAAUACGUAGGUGGCAAGCGU
rnacentral:rRNA from 1 species